rnacentral:lncRNA from 1 species
UAAUUUUUGAUCUUAAUCACAUCAAUAAAAUCUUUUAAACUCAUCACUUAAGUUUUUAAUAUCUUUGCAUAUACUGAAGUUAAAGUUCAACACUAUUAUACUUUGUUGAAUAAUAACUAUAACAAAAAAUAAUAGUUAAGAGUUUUCCACUUGACUGGCAUAACAUUGAUGAAAUGAGAGUAAAUGAUUUUCUCAUUCAAAAUUUCUGGCUAUGACAACCAGUCCCAGCCAUAAUGUAAAGACUUUUAUUUUUGAACUACAGUGUAACAGACUUACGAAUAGAAGGAAACGGGAAAUUUUCAAAUGUCUCUUGAUAGUUUUCGAAGACUUUACUUUGUAGUUUGUACGUAGACACCAUCAAUGCAUCAUUUGGUGCUUUUGAAUAACUAUAAAUAAAAAAAAUAGAAGUCAAUAAAAAAACAACGCAAAUGUAUCUUCCUUUAAAAAAAAAAACAACGCAAAUGUAUCUAUCGUCAAAUAUCGACAUCAGUUACCAAAGAUAUUUCCUCUCUUUAAUUAUUUUAUUAAAAUUUAUAAAGAGAAG